AUUCUCGUUCUAAAAACAAGAAGUUCAUCGCGAUCUCCGUCCAACUCCUCCCCCAGAUCACGCUCGCCGGAGUGCUCCGCCGUGUAAUCUAGUCCCCCACCUCCCAAACUCUCGCCUGAUUCGAGCGCGCGGACGGGGGGUUGCUUUCGAUGCACCGGCGUCGGCGCGAGCGGUCGGGCAGGCGGUGGCCGGAGCAUUGCGCCGGCGGCCGCCUGAGAUGGGGAGGAAGACGGAGUCCAGGCGUCGGCGUGCGCCCCUUCUUUUCUUCCCGCGCGGUGCACCAGCGAUGGCUGGAAGGGGGUGGGUGGAGCGGUGCAUCAAGCGCACUGUUCGAAGAUUCGUUGUACGUACAAGCUUAUGCAAACAUAGGAAAAACUUCAUAGUUACUUGGAACCAAUAUCCUAAAUUAAGAAAUGUACUUUGCCAAUCUGCUUGGAACCUUGGAUGCUGUUCGGAAAGGAGAGAUGGGACAGUUUUGAUGUUUCACUUAAAAGCAGUAUACCUAAUAUGCCAUAUCUUAGUCAUGGUAAUGCUGUCAUAAUAAGUGAACUCAAUGUUGUUUGCUUCUUGUAGACCAUCAUGAGCAUGAUCACACCCAUGACCCUGGUGUUUCCUCUGUAAGCAUUUGUUUGCGAAGGGGAGAUGGAUCUCUAAAAGUAAAAGUGCUGACGUAUGCCGGACGAAGGGACUACUCUCUAUCAGUGGAAUGCCUCAACGCUUUGCUUUUCAGAUCAAGGAUUAUGCGCUUGAUGCUGGAGUGUCACUGGACAAUUGCUUGGCCUGUUCGAAGAUUCGUUGUACGUACAAGCUUAUGCAAGUUUUCCUUUCAGAUUUGCACAAAUGGGGGAACAAAAUUGCUACGUGUUCUGCUGCCCUCUCGUUAUGGACCACUUCCAUGUUAUCCAUCUGCAAGGAGUGUGUAUGACACUUUACAUGGAUCUCCCAACAGAUUGAAUGUGCCGCGCGCGCAUGAACGAGAUCAUGCCGGUCGGCAGGAACCUCGACCGGAAAGAGGAAAGAGCGGGAGCCGGGCUUCCAGGAUUGCCUACUGAAGGAAUAGGCCAGAGACACCAAGUUUCUCCGUUUCUCCUUUUUCGCGGCCGGGGUGGAUCUCCAGUUCCAUGAUUUCGAGCUUUGCGGCUGCGUCCAGAACUUGUUCUUCAAAUGUUGAGGCUGAACUGUAAUUGAA